rnacentral:rRNA from 1 species
GAUGAACGCUGGCGGCGUGCCUAACACAUGCAAGUCGAACGAAGCACCUUACCUGAUUCUUCGGAUGAAAGUUUGGUGACUGAGUGGCGGACGGGUGAGUAACGCGUGGGUAACCUGCCCUGUACAGGGGGAUAACAGCUGGAAACGGCUGCUAAUACCGCAUAAGCGCACGAGGAGACAUCUCCUUGUGUGAAAAACUCCGGUGGUACAGGAUGGGCCCGCGUCUGAUUAGCUGGUUGGCAGGGUAACGGCCUACCAAGGCAACGAUCAGUAGCCGGUCUGAGAGGAUGAACGGCCACAUUGGAACUGAGACACGGUCCAAACUCCUACGGGAAGCAGCAGUGGGGAAUAUUGCACAAUGAGGGAAACCCUGAUGCAGCAACGCCGCGUGAGUGAAGAAGUAUUUCGGUAUGUAAAGCUCUAUCAGCAGGGAAGAUAAUGACGGUACCUGACUAAGAAGCUCCGGCUAAAUACGUG